rnacentral:rRNA from 1 species
AGGAAUAUUGGUCAAUGGACGAGAGUCUGAACCAGCCAAGUAGCGUGAAGGAUGACUGCCCUAUGGGUUGUAAACUUCUUUUAUAUGGGAAUAAAACAGGGUAUGCAUACCCUCUUGUAUGUACCAUAUGAAUAAGGAUCGGCUAACUCCGUGCCAGCAGCCGCGGUAAUACGGAGGAUCCGAGCGUUAUCCGGAUUUAUUGGGUUUAAAGGGAGCGUAGGUGGUUAAUUAAGUCAGCGGUAAAAAUUCGGGGCUCAACCCCGUCCGGCCGUUGAAACUGGGGGCCUUGAGUGGGCGAGAAGAAGGCGGAAUGCGUGGUGUAGCGGUGAAAUGCAUAGAUAUCACGCAGAACCCCGAUUGCGAAGGCAGCCUUCCGGCGCCCUACUGACGCUGAGGCACGAAAGUGCGGGGAUCGAACAGG